CCAAUAGCGUAUAUUAAAGUUGUUGCAGUUAAAAAGCUCGUAGUUGAAUUUCGGGGUCAGUAGGUUGGUCGUGCCACCGGUACGUACUGGUCUCACUGAUUCCUCCUUCCUGAUGAGCUGUAAUGCCAUUAAUUUGGUGUUGCGGGGAAUCUGGACUGUUACUUUGAAAAAAUUAGAGUGUUUAAAGCAGGCUAACGCUUGAAUACAUUAGCAUGGAAUAAUGAAAUAGGACGUUCGAUCCUAUUUUGUUGGUUUCUAGGAUUGACGUAAUGAUUAAUAGGGAUAGUUGGGGGCAUUAGUAUUCAAUUGUCAGAGGUGAAAUUCUUGGAUUUAUUGAAGACUAACUACUGCGAAAGCAUUUGCCAAGGAUGUUUUCAUUAAUCAAGAACGAAAGUUAGGGGAUCGAAGACGAUCAGAUACCGUCGUAGUCUUAACCAUAAACUAUGCCGACUAGGAAUCAGACGAUGUUAAUUUUUUAAUGACUCGUUUGGCACCUUACG
rnacentral:rRNA from 1 species